rnacentral:misc_RNA from 1 species
GAUGAAGAACGUAGCGAAAUGCGAUAAGUAAUGUGAAUUGCAUAAUUCAGUGAAUCAUCGAAUCUUUGAACGCACCUUGCACCCUUUGGCAUUCCGAAGGGUAUGCUCGUUUGAGUGUCAUUGUACUCUCACACUUCCGAUCUUUGGAUUGGGAGCGGUGGACUUGGGUGUUGCUGCUUACUGUGGCUCACCUCAAAUCGAUUCGUGCACCUCUUGGUUGGACAUAGUACGGCGUGAUAAGUGUCUUCGCCGGCACCUCAGUAGAGGGUGGCUGAUCGGGAGCUCUGCUUCAAACCGUCCUCGGACAACAACUGACAACUUGACCUCAAAUCGAGUAGGACUACCCGCUGAACUUAAGCAUAUCAAUAAGCGGAGGA